UCAUAAUGAUGAUCAAUCCACAAAAAAAAACAGUUAUCCCUGUCUUAAUAGACUUGUGUUGAGAAGUAUAAUCUGAUCCAUGA
rnacentral:snoRNA from 1 species